UCCUGGCUCAGGACGAACGCUGGCGGCGUGCUUAACACAUGCAAGUCGAACGGAGAUUCAGCAAUGGAUCUUAGUGGCGAACGGGUGAGUAACGCGUAGGCAAUCUGCCUUCUAGAUGGGGACAACAUCCCGAAAGGGGUGCUAAUACCGAAUGUUGUAUGAUCUUCGCAUGGAGAUGAUACUAAAGGUGGCCUCUGAAUAUGCUACCGCUAGAAGAUGAGCCUGCGUCUGAUUAGCUAGUUGGAGGGGUAACGGCCCACCAAGGCUUCGAUCAGUAGCCGGUCUGAGAGGAUGAACGGCCACACUGGGACUGAGACACGGCCCAGACUCCUACGGGAGGCAGCAGUGGGGAAUCUUCCGCAAUGGACGAAAGUCUGACGGAGCAACGCCGCGUGAGUGAAGAAGGUUUUCGGAUCGUAAAGCUCUUUCGUUAGGGACGAACGUGCUCUUUGUGAAUAAUGAGGAGUAAUGACGGUACCUAAAUAAGAAGCCACGGCUAACUACGUGCCAGCAGCCGCGGUAAUACGUAGGUGGCAAGCGUUGUCCGGAAUUAUUGGGCGUAAAGCGCGCGCAGGCGGGAUAUCAAGUCUGUCUUAAAAGUGCGAGG
rnacentral:rRNA from 1 species